rnacentral:rRNA from 1 species
UACAGAGGUCUCAAGCGUUGUUCGGAUUCAUUGGGCGUAAAGGGUGCGUAGGCGGUGCCGUAAGUCGGGUGUGAAAUUUCGGAGCUUAACUCCGGAACUGCAUUCGAUACUGCGGUGCUUGAGGACUGGAGAGGAGACUGGAAUUCAUGGUGUAGCAGUGAAAUGCGUAGAGAUCAUGAGGAAGACCAGUGGCGAAGGCGGGUCUCUGGACAGUUCCUGACACUGAGGCACGAAGGCCAGGGGAGCAAACAGG